rnacentral:rRNA from 1 species
ACUCCUACGGGAGGCAGCAGUGAGGAAUAUUGGUCAAUGGACGCAAGUCUGAACCAGCCAUGUCGCGUGCAGGACAACGGCCCUAUGGGUUGUAAACUGCUUUUGUACGGGAAGAAAAGAGGGUAUGUAUACUCUUUUGCCGGUACUGUACGAAUAAGCAUCGGCUAACUCCGUGCCAGCAGCCGCGGUAAU